AUUGAACGCUGGCGGCAUGCUUUACACAUGCAAGUCGAACGGCAGCACGGGUGCUUGCACCUGGUGGCGAGUGGCGAACGGGUGAGUAAUGCAUCGGAACGUGCCCAUGAGUGGGGGAUAGCCCGGCGAAAGCCGGAUUAAUACCGCAUACGCCCUUAGGGGGAAAGCGGGGGAUCUUCGGACCUCGCGCUAUUGGAGCGGCCGAUGUCGGAUUAGCUAGUAGGUGAGGUAAAGGCUCACCUAGGCGACGAUCCGUAGCUGGUCUGAGAGGAUGAUCCGCCACACUGGGACUGAGACACGGCCCAGACUCCUACGGGAGGCAGCAGUGGGGAAUUUUGGACAAUGGGGGCAACCCUGAUCCAGCCAUGCCGCGUGAGUGAAGAAGGCCUGG
rnacentral:rRNA from 1 species